rnacentral:ncRNA from 1 species
AUGAUAAGGUUGUAUGUACAGCCUUUUUGUGGAAGUGAACCUUCUGCUAUAAACCAUCAAAUUGCGGGAACACCCUAAAGCAAUCACAACCAAGUAGGAGUAGUAAUACGUCCUAUGGCUCAGGUAAUGACUCGAGGUAUGGUAAAAUCGUGAUUGAUUAGUAUUUACUAAUGGGUUAUCCGCAGCCAAGCUCCAAGUAUUCUAAGGAAUAAUGGUGUGCAGUUCAUCGACUAAAUGUUGGUUGGUGUCAGUUAAUAUUUAAACUUGAUGCUUAAGAUAUAGUCAAGCCUCAUCUGAAAGGAUGCA